UCGGAGCUACAGCUGAGGUCACAGCCACAGCAACACUGGAUCUGAGCCACAUCUGCAACCCAAGCUGGAGCUUGUGACAGCACCAGAUAUUUCACCCAGUAAGUGAGGCCAGGGAUGGAACCCACAUCCUCAUGGGCACUAUGUGGGGUUCUAAACCUACUGAGCCACAAUGGGAACUCAAAUGUUUCAAAUUUUAGAGAGGUCACUAAAUGUUUCUUAGAGUUUGGGGCUGACUGUAGAUUCUGGUACUUGAAAACAUGUUGUAAGUCUUAUUACACAAGGAAAAAAUUAUGGGUUAUGAUUAUGUACCUUAUAUCAACAGUAUUUCACAAUUUCCUCUAAGAUUUAUAAAUAGAUGUGUGGAAGGGUGUCUUUCUAAAACUGUCAAGGUAACAUCUUAGGCACCUUCGUGGAAGAGAAUUAUUUUUACUCUUGAAUUGUCUUUUUAGGUUAAGUUUGUUGAAAAGUACAGUCAUUUUUUAAAGAGAAUUUGGUGGCUGGAGGGAAGACAAUUUUACUGUUGAGCAAAGAGUCAUGCUUGAUGCUUGUGUGUGUAUUUUCCUGAACACAGUAAGUAUUGUUGUCUGGAGAGAGUUUAUUUUCAUGUGACAGCCUAAGUAGAAUAAUUAAAUCCCUUAUCAACAUAAAUUAUUAUUUCCACAAGAAAACUAGCCUGCAUUAAACUUUUGUUUCUUUAUACACACUCAUUUUGGUGGAUGAAGACACAGCAAUAAGAUUUUGAAGUCCCUCAUACACCUAAAAGGCCUAAGCUACCCAAAUUUUUUCUACUGCAAGCCACAUAUGAACAGCAAACAAAAGUUUUAAAAUCCCAAAUUUUAUAGACCUAUCACUUUAUAUGCUGUCAAAUGCCUUUGGGAAAAAUCCUGGAAUUGCAGUUUUGUCAUCCUUAAUUCAACAGAAAAUAUCUGCUUUGUCUAUAUUCUAUAGUUAUUGUGAGAAUGAGAUAACAUACAUAUUUUAAUGUAUAUAAACAUAGAGCAUUAUUAAUGAAUUAUUAAUUGAUGAAUAUGAUUAUGAGUAAUAUUCUCAUUAAAGGAAGAUUUCUUUCCUGAAAAAUACCUCAUUAAGCCUUUAUUUCAAGGUAAUGAAAUUUUCUGUAUUAUACUCAGAUAUUAUUUAUUCAUUUAUGACUUAGAGUCCACUUUGUUCCUCCAAAGGCUUAAUGUAGUUUACGAUGUUAAAUGCAUAUAAAACAGAACAGAAAAUAAAACACAGAUAAAACUGUACUGUACAUAAGAGACAGAUAUACUAUUAUCUAGAUAUCCUAGAUAAAUAAAUUUCUAUAACUGAGCAUAAAUUUAGGCCAGAGCUCCCGGGAACCUGAAGAGAACUACAGAGCCCAAGAGUUAAUAUGGUUUCCAUGUUGAAAAGAAUAUAAAAGUACCAAGAGGUGUUCAAUAAACAUUUAUUAAAAAUGGCUAAAUGACUGAGUUCACCUGGAAAAAUUCUACUCCAUCUCAAGCCUCCUGACCUUAAAUAGAUAUGAUCUUUAUAAAGGCCUUUGGGUGACAUGACUGUUACUCUACAGACCACAUAAUGGUCUUUCUGAUGUUUAUUUUAUACUGCCCCUUUAGAAAUCUAAUUAUAUUAAAUUAUAACCCAACCAAGUCAUUUCUAUGAGGAUUUAUAAGAUAUUCUUGUUUUUAAAAAUUAUCAUUUAUUCCAAUUAGAGAACUUAGAUGAAAGACUAAUUAAAGGUUUUCUGAGACAUGUUGCAUCUCAUUUGGGCAAAUAUUGAAAACUGGUUUAAUUUGUGAUGCAUCUUCUGGGGCUUGCUUAAUGAUAUUUAAAAGACGGACUCAUAUAAACUGCUCGGCAAUUUUGAUCAUAAGACAGAAGUACUAGACCUACGAAUGUUGAACUGAAAUUUGGGACUCUGACCUUAAUCUUGUUCAGAACAAGAUCACACAGCACGGAGGUGGUCUAGAAGGAAGUUAGAUGAGGCAACUAGACUGCUUCAGUGUCUACACACAAUGUCACUGCUCAUGGGGAUUCUCAUCCCACUGGCUCUACCUCCAUAGAGUACUUGUGAAAACUGUGUCUAUGGGCUGACUGUGACUCUUCCAAGGUCAUAUGGCUAGUCGUCCUCCUUGUGAAGCUACUGAUUUUUUAAGCAUUACCUUUGUUGUGGAAUCUGACUCUGGAUUUUAUCGUGGAAUAUUAGACAUCAGCAGAAAUAAGAAGGAAUUCUGCAUUGAAAGUGGGUCACCAAGAAGCACUAUUAUUCAUUUACAUAGAACGCUGGUGUGGCAGAAAAAUAAAAUCAAAGUGGAAAAAUACCCUUAGAAUCAAAGGAGUGACUCCGAACUUAAAAUGAUUUUUAUUCUAGUAUUACUAAUUUGUACCUAAAUCUUUGAAGCACGUAUCUCCUCUAAGUAAAGAACAUUUUCCUGGACACACUGUUGUCUGCUUCAGCAUCAUACUCUGACAUUUAAUGCUCAAAUCUCAUUCCUUCUAUAGCAAGUACUGACCAUGCUAUCCACUGAAAAAAAAGUACAACUGAAGACUUUAGAGUUAUGUUUUAUUUAUUUGGAGAACUUACUGAGGACUACAGUCCAGGAGAUAGUCUUUCAGAUAGCUCUGAGGAACAAUUACAAAGAAGCAAGGAGCCAGUAUACGCAGAAGUUUUUGCUGGAAAAAAAAAAUCCAUGUAGUCAAACAUUUAGAAAUUAUAAUUAAUCACACACACACACACACACACACACACACACACACACAGGACACCUCAUGGUAAUAACUUUAGUGCUUUUCUAAGUAUGGAAAGAUUCAAGAGUCUGGGAUCACUGAAAUCAUUCCACAGAUGCACAUAUUAACUAUCAAGGCCCAGUACCCUUUUUUUACUCCAACUCGAAUUCCCCUGAGGGCGCACCAUCAGGGGCUGCUGCAGUGACUGCUGGCUUCAUGGUGGGAAACUUCAGUGUUUACUGUAAGGACAGGCAAUACUUUGUGUCCACAAUACUGUCUUUUUAUCUCACCAAUGAAAAAUAAAAAUUGCUUCUUGCCAAUCAGCUCAUAUCCUUCCUGUAGCUGUAUAACUGUUUUGUUUUCCUUUCAAUCCUCUAAUUUUUAAAAAAUUGCUGUUCCCUCCUUUCUAACCUUCAGGCACUUUUUACUGGUGUCAUAUGAUGAUCAAGCUCUUUACAUGGAAUUUAAGCUUUUGAUACCAAAUUAGAACAGGUAUUUUAGUUACUAUAAGACUGUGUGUUGAUAUAAUUAUAUCCUUAUUCAUUCAUAUAACUGUUCUAUUAACCCACUUAACUAUGGUACUAAGAAAAAUACCAUUGUUUCCUCACACCUAUUUUCUUGAGGUGUUCAGUUCUAUUCUCAGUGCUUGACUCAGGAAAUAGCUUUCUGAAAAUAUCAAUUGCAGAAGAUAUACAUUCACCACAUGCAAACAGAUGACCCUCUUUAAAACAGCAUCUGUGGUCUUCACGAUGCUAGAAUAGGAUCUGGGGGAAUGUUAGGGUAGAGAUAAAUUUUAUGUUUCUCUUUUUUGUGUAACAAUAUAGGAAGUAAAAACAAUCAUAUAUACAGAAUCUUGCUUCCUGGGCAAACAAGAUAUUUAUUUUUGAAAUGUAAUAGAUUUCUAUUGCUUCGUAGAAUAACUCAUUUUUCCCCUAAGUGUCUAGUAUCUCAAAGGAUGUUUGUUCCUCAGAAAUGUUAAUAUACUUUUAUGAUCAAAUAAGCUUGGGAAAUUCUGGGUGAGAGAAUUCUGGUUAGCAGGGGUUAUCUCAGAGCCUUUAAUAUGUUAAUGUGUUUUAUGAAUCACCAAAGGGUUUCGAGUUGCCCUAAUGCUGGUAUUUCUUAUAUACAAUUCACCUCAGAACUUCACAGCCCUAAUUCUCCCUGGUGCACGCUUUGGAAAAUGCUUGUGUAGAUACCUGUUAAGGUGCAAGAGUAAUUACACUUUGAACUCUCUUUUAAGCAUAUGGCCUUAGCUCAUAUAGAAAGAUCAUGUAACUUCUGAAUUACCUGAAAACAUUCAAGGUGCAAAGAAUGUCAGAUUUCAUUAACUUUUCUACAUCAGAUGAAUUGACCCAAACUACCUACUUGAUGAAAUUAGUAAGAAUCCCGAUAUUUCUUAUUUGUCAUCACUUUCCUUCCCUCCUUAUGCUCCUUACAUGUGAACUUUGACAAGCCACUGGUUAAACAGCUGUCUGAUGAGGUUCUUUAUUCAUUUAAAGUGGUCACUACUCUGACAACAUCCCUACCCCGGAUCAGCUCCGACUGCAAGGAUCGUCUCUUUGGUCCAAAGUCAAGUGUCUGCAGGCUACAGAUCCAUCUCCUCAGAGGCUCGGGUUUCUUCUUGGCUACACAGACUGCUACUAUAUUGGAACCAGCUUGAGUCUUACACCAGGCCAUCAAAUUAUCUUUCUCUCUUUUGUUUUGGGUACCUCCUCUCUUUUUUCUCAAAAUACCAGCAUUGAUACCUUCCCUUUGGACAGCGUAAUUGUCCAAAAUAUAGAAACAAAAGCCCUCAAAUGCCAUUUAGCGCAUUUGUCUACACUUAACCACUUUCAACCCUAAAACAUGAAAGGUCUAUUCACUCCCUGCAGAAGCAAGGAACUCAAGUCUCCUUCCUGUGGGGUGAAAACAAAAAUCACACAGUAAAAUACACAAAAGAUCAAAACUAAUUUAUUACUAGCUUAUAGUCACAUUUAUAAAACAAUCGACUCUGGGGUAGUCAGUAUACAAUUUGUUGCUCAUAUCCAAGAUUCAUUAUAUCAAGUGCUCGGAAGCGCCUCAGGUCCUUAGAGAAGGAAAGAGUUUGAUUAAUUUGCGGCUCCCACUGGCUAGGUGAAGGACUGAUACUAACCCUGCAUUUAUGAUCCCAUAAAAAGAAUAUCUCAACAUCAGAACAUUCAAAGAUAUAUUUCCCAGUGGUCGGUAUUUUUUCAAGUAUGCAGCAUAACCUAUUACAUACAUAUAUAUAUGUUUUUUUAAAAUAAGGAAAACAAAGCUAUUAAAAUAUAAUUAACUACAUAGCAUUCCUAUUGCAAGCAAAGGAUUUUUUUUAAAUCAAUUCAAAUGAGACAAUCUACUCCAUAAAGUAGAACUCUUAUUUAUUUUAUUUAUUUAUUUAAAAAAAGUAAGCAGACCCUUCCAUAUAAAUGCUAUUCUCACUCAAAUUUUCCCCUACUAAGGACAAUAUGAAAAAAUAUUAUUCAGUGCAUCAAUUCAUGAUGGAUAAAUAUAAGUCUCAAUUAAAAAAUAAAACCCUUAAUUUCAAAACAGAAACUGCCCCAGUCAUGUUGGCUCUUUAUUCUAAUUAAUUAUUGGUGAAAUAAAUGGACAAAUAUUGAGUAACAGAAAAUUAGAAUAUAACUAAUUUAAAAGGAGGGCAGGCCUUUAGGCUCACAUCAGAUAGCAGUAUUAUUUCUGUGAGAUGCAGAAUAAAAAAAUGACAUAGUACAUGGACUGAAUUUUGAGCUCAGGAGAAUCUAGGCUAUGAGGAUUAGUGACAUUUUACAAAAUAUGCUGAAUAUGAAAGCAGACUGACAACUGACUCCUUUCCAAAUAUACACAUGCACAUACAUUUAAAGAUGAACCAUGAGUUAAAGACUAUUUGAUGGUUAGUAAUGUAAGCCCAAAACUGAUUACAUAAAAACAGAGAUUAAAGCCUUUGUUGAUUUUGUCUUAAUAAGAAGGUAAAAGUGGCAGAAUAGAGAAUAAUUCCCUUCAAUUUAGAGCAGAACUGUUAACCUAUAUCUAUGCCCCACUGGCCUCCUUACUGUGGUUCAUUCCACACUUCUAAUGUGCUGAGGGUUUUUGCAUGCAGCCACUGUCUCUUUGAACUAAAUAAACAAACAAACAAAAAACCCCAGGCUGGAAGUGCAGGGGGAAAUAACGACCCCUGGGAGGAGCAGUAGCUGUUGAGUGGGGUAUAAACACCACAGGAUCCCUCCUCUCCCAGGGAAGGUAACUCUGACCUGGAGCGUUUCACACUGAUUCCCAGUUUCCCAGUGGGAUUAAGGUACAUUAUCUAUAAUAAUAACUGGCUAGUUAGUUGGCUGCCUUUCCUCUCCUAGCUCACAUCCCCACUCCUCUGCCAAAGAUAUCACUGGGCCUAGAACACUCAUCUCACAGCCUGCUUCCAGGAGAACCGAAUGAAGGCAAUGCUCUAAUAAAGUGCAAAGAGCUAGUCAGUUGGGAAUUUCUCUGUUACCUCUGCCUUCUUGGGGUCUGAAGCAAAAAGUAAAGGAGAUAGGGACAGUCCCUUAUCUCCUCCUUUCAAACUAGCAAUGCUGCUAUUCCUU
rnacentral:lncRNA from 1 species